UACGUAGGGUGCAAGCGUUGUCCGGAAUUAUUGGGCGUAAAGAGCUCGUAGGCGGUCUGUCACGUCGGCUGUGAAAACCUAGGGCUCAACCCUGGGCCUGCAGCCGAUACGGGCAGACUAGAAUCGGUAGGGGAGACUGGAAUUCCUGGGUGUAGCGGUGAAAUGCGCAGAUAUCAGGAGGAACACCGGUGGCGAAGGCGGGUCUCUGGGCCGAUAUUGACGCUGAGGAGCGAAAGCGUGGGGAGCGAACAGG
rnacentral:rRNA from 1 species